rnacentral:rRNA from 1 species
GUGCCAGCAGCCGCGGUAAUACGUAGGGUGCGAGCGUUAAUCGGAAUUACUGGGCGUAAAGGGUGCGCAGGCGGUCCUGCAAGUCAAGUGUGAAAGCCCCGGGCUUAACCUGGGAAUGGCGCUUGAAACUACGGGACUGGAGUAUGGCAGAGGGAGGUGGAAUUCCACGUGUAGCGGUGAAAUGCGUAGAGAUGUGGAGGAACACCGAUGGCGAAGGCAGCCUCCUGGGCCAAUACUGACGCUCAUGCACGAAAGCGUGGGGAGCAAACAGGAUUAGAUACCCUGGUAGUCC